rnacentral:rRNA from 1 species
AGAGUUUGAUCAUGGCUCAGGAUGAACGCUGGCGGCGUGCCUAAUACAUGCAAGUCGAACGGAGUUUGUAGCAAUACAGACUUAGUGGCGAACGGGUGAGUAACGCGUUGGUGACCUGCCCCGAAGUGGGGGAUAACGGCUCGAAAGGGCUGCUAAUACCCCAUGCGGUCAUUGGGAUUAGAAUCCGAUGACCAAAGGAUUUAUUCGCUUCGGGAGGGGCCUGCGUCCCAUCAGCUAGUUGGUAGGGUAAUGGCUUACCAAGGCUAUGACGGGUAGGGGAUCUGAGAGGGUGGCCCCCCACAAUGGAACUGAAACACGGUCCAUACACCUACGGGUGGCAGCAGUAGGGAAUAUUGGUUAAUGGGCGAAAGCCUGAACCAGCAACGCCGCGUGUGCGAUGAAGGCCUUCGGGUCGUAAAGCACUUUUGAAGGGGAAGAGGAAGGACGGUACCCUUCGAAUAAGCCUCGGCUAACUACGUGCCAGCAGCCGCGGUAACACGUAGGAGGCAAGCGUUAUCCGGAUUUACUGGGCGUAAAGCGCGUGCAGGCGGUUUGGUAAGUUGGAUGUGAAAGCUCCCGGCUUAACUGGGAGAGGUCGUUCAAGACUACCAGACUC